rnacentral:rRNA from 1 species
GAUGAACGUUGGCGGCGUGCCUAACACAUGCAAGUCGAACGAUAGUAGCAAUACUAUAGUGGCGCACGGGUGAGUAACACGUAGCUUACCUCCCUCUCAGCGCGGGAUAACGGCUCGAAAGAGCUGCUAAUACCGCAUAAGCUCACGGUCUGUAGAGGAUUGUGAGAAAAGGCUUUGGUCACUGAGAGACGGGGCUGCGGCCCAUCAGCUAGUUGGUGAGGUAAAGGCUUACCAAGGCGACGACGGGUAGGGGACCUGAGAGGGUGACCCCCCA